rnacentral:rRNA from 1 species
UAUGCCGCAUGAGUGAAGAAGGCCUUAGGGUUGUAAAACUCUUUCAGCAGGGAAGAUAAUGACGGUACCUGCAGAAGAAGUCCCGGCAAACUCCGUGCCAGCAGCCGCGGUAAUACGGAGGGGGCAAGCGUUGUUCGGAAUUAUUGGGCGUAAAGGGCAUGUAGGCUGUUUAAUAAGUUAAAAGUGAAAUACCAGAGCUUAACUCUGGAGCUGCUUUUAAUACUGUUAGACUAGAGAUUGAGAGAGGAUAGUGGAAUUCCUAGUGUAGAGGUGAAAUUCGUAGAUAUUAGGAGGAACACC